CGCUGGGAUGCGAUGAAUCUGAGAUUCAUUCAACGACACUUCUGCCAUGCUUUUUUAACUUUAAUGGGAAAGCGAGAGUGGAAGAUUUAAGGAAGUUCAACAAUUGAUCAGCAAUGAUCCCCCACUGCAGGUCUGGGGGAAGUGCUGAUCCUGGCAUCUUUCAUACCGAAGACCAGAACAAAUAGUCCUCCUCAUCCAUCUGUCUCAAAAUGUGAAACAUCCUGUGGGAACUAUUUCGGCAUCUAGGACAGAGUUUAUCCUCCAAGCAACAUCAAUAAAAUCGAAUAAACUCA